rnacentral:lncRNA from 1 species
ACCCUUCAUCUCUUUAGAUUUAUGGGAUGUCAUUGAAGAUGAUGAGAUGGUAGACGAUUCGACCGAAGGAGAUGAAGAAGAUCCAAAGUUACAAAAGAAAUAUAAAAAGAAAGAUGCAAUGGCGUUGCGAUAUAUUCAACAAGGAGUUGGAAAAUCAAUUUUUCCUCAUAUAUUUGGUGUUAAAAAUGCCAAAGAUGCAAGAUCCUUGAUAAAAAGAAAAAUGUCAUAGUGGCAAAUGUUGAAAUGAAAAACAAAACUUUUCGUCUCAUGUUACCACUAGACAAAAAUUGUGCACUUAAAAUUGAAAAUGAAGAUUUGUCACAUCUAUGGCAUUUGCGAUAUGGCCAUUUAAAUGGCAAAGGACUAUAAUUGCUUAAGGAGAAAAAUAGGGUGAUCGAGCUUCCUAAAAUUCAAAUGACAGACAAAGUGUGUGAAGGCUGUAUAUAUGGAAAAAUGUAUGAGCUUCCAUUUCCUAAUACUUCAUGGCGAGCAAAAAUGCCAUUGAAGCUUGUCCAUUCAGAUAUUUGAGGACCAAUGCAAACUCCCACACCUAGAAACAAGAGAUAUUUCAUUAUCUUUGUUGAUGAUAACACAAGGAUGAUGUGGAUUUUCUUUCAAUAAAAAAUUUGAGACAUUCUCUACUUUUCUCCAGUUUAAAGCACUUGUAGAAAGACAAAGUGGAUUUCUAAUAAAGACGUUAAGGAUUGAUCGUGGAGGAG